CAGAAAAAACCUGUCAGUGACAUUCAACUUUUUUGUUUCGCUCUCUCUCUUCUGUUUGUUGACAGAAAAAAAGUUUGACGAAUAAAAUUUGGUGAAGAAGAAGAAAAGAUUGCAUAAUCAAACUACCAAUCGACGGGAGCACCAACACCGAACUGAGGAACCUUCCUACAUCCUAUUCCUGUGGGAACUCGUCGAAUGGCCGCCGAACCGAACGACGGGCCGUAGAUGAACAAAAUUGUUCACUUGCAGAUGGGAAAUUCACCCACAGUUAAUAAAUACAACACACACAAACGAAGCGCCGAAGCAGCAAUCAGGAAGCGUGUGUUGGAAGCGAAAAGUAACUAACUAGCGUUAGUAACUUCCCUUUACACGAUGGUUCCCUCUUUGUCAACCGUUUUGUGUCGUUGCGAGCACGUAGGUAGAUAGGUACAAUAAUUAUACACUUAGCAGCUAGCGUUUGCCGCCCACCCCUCCGUCAGUAAAAAAUCCCGGGGGAGAAUCCGGGGGAAACAACUCACCACACCUGAUGAUGAUGACGAAGAUGACGUUGUUGUUCAUGACGAUGACGAUGAUGAUGAUGAUGAUUCGUUAUUAUGGAUAUAAUCAACCAGCCUCUCCCUCCUUCCGAUUGAGUUCCCGUACGAGAAUUGAAACUAUUUUAAUUUCUGAUUUGCACUGGUGCUCCGGUCGGUCGGCAUUACGACGUGUAUUCCGUAUUAGGUAUUAUGUCAGUUUCUAGCAAAUUGUCAAGGACAAAAUUUCCGCUUCGGUGUUGCGGUGCGCUUCACUAGUUUCAGUUGAGUAAUCAAACAGUAAAAACGAUUGUUGUUUCGAAGGGAGGAGGACACUCCGUAGUUUUUUUUCUGCUUUGUUGGCAUCUGGUUCUAAUAUGUCUGCGAACAGCCAGUAAUCGCUGGGAGCCAAAUCUGGCGAAUACGGAGGGUGUGAGAGCAAUUUGAAGAUCAAUUCAUGUAGUCCAUUGUUUUGAUUGACUUGUGACACGGUGCGCUGUCUUGUUGAAACAAAUUUUUUUUUGUUGCGGAAAACUCUUUACUUUCGCUUGGGUUUUGAGGUAGUCAGGCACAUAUCCUCAACUGACAGCGUAUAAAAGGGGAACCGUGGUCGAAAAUCGAUCAUUUCUUCUUGUGCGUUGGAUGGAAGCAGACGUCGGGGCGAGAAGACGCAUUAAACCAGUUUCGCAUCAUUUGGCACUGCGAGCGGAUGUGUUGCGGUUUGUACGCAAAGCUAGUUUCAACUCAAACAAGAGCGAUUGGCGUAGGUUUCGUCGUCGAUCAGGAUGCAUCAUACGACAGAGCUGCUGGUCGUUUGCAUUGGAGAGAAAGAAAACGAAAAGUGGACAACAUUAAGGAGUGUAUCGAAAAGUAGUUAGCAACAUUGAUUAUUGAAUAAAAAAGCGAAAAAAAAAAUAUUUUGACAUCAGUUUUCGAUAUAUUGUAGAAAAAUUA